rnacentral:lncRNA from 1 species
AAGAAACUUAUUUAUUUUGACAAUGAAAUAGAUGUUACUAUCAAAAUAAACUUACUUUAUAUUUAAUCUUAUAGUUAAAAGAAUUUAUUCCUAUAUAAAUAAUAAGAUUAUAUGUAUAUUAUAGAAGUUGAUCAACACAUGGACAUGGAAGAUACAAAUAUUUUUACCCUCGAAAUUCCUUGUCAUUUUUUUCACUUUAGGUGGAUUCUUUACUCACCGUGGAAUGUGUUGGUAUGAAAGAUUGAAAUCCUCAUGAAAUAGUCUUUUGAGAACGGUGGCGUACAAUAAUAUAUUUCGGUUGCCUUUUUUGGUCAAAACCAGAGCCGAACCUGAUGGGAGGCCCAAGAGGCCUCCACCUCAGGCCCAGAAUUUUAGGGGCCCCAUUUUUUCACUUUUUACAUUUUUUUUUUUUUUGAAAAAACCCACUAUGCCCAUGCGUUCAAAAGAAAAGACUUUCAGACUCAGAGAAAUCAACGGCAAAACUUACAUGUUCAACGGUGGUGGUCGGAGCUAAUGUGGUGGCCAUCCUCACCAAUUCACUGUCAACAAUCCACCUCUUAAUUCACCGCUCCUUUUUGUUUAGGUGAUGUCUAAAAUCUAAAUUUAUUUUUCUUCUUUCUUUCACUUUCUUGUACAUAAUAUAGUAUUUCAGUUUUUUUUUUCUUUUUCUCUUUCCUUUAUUUUGGGAUUUUGGGGUGUAAUUGUUGUUAUAAUGUUAUUGGCUGAUUUCUUCUUGCGGUUUCCAAAAUCUGAUGUUAUGCUCUAUUCUUCAACUUCAUCUAGAAAUUCCUCUUUUUUCUCCGAUUUUGAAAAUUUGAAUCUUUUGAAGGCAUUUUUUAUUUUCCUAACUUUUAAUCAAAUAUUUGAAUGUAAUUUGGAGAAAAAAUAAUGGACUAUUUUGAUGGCAAAGCUCUGCAGCAGAAGAAGAGAGUGUGAAAGGUUUUUAUUUCAUUUCAAAGUUGAAUAGGGCUCACUGGCUUAAUUUUAUACAAGCAAUUCAAUUGCUUAAAAAGUUACGAAUGUUUUUAAGAAGGUUUUAAUUUUAUUUUAAUUUUGCUUUUAGCUGAAUAUAAAUGGGAGAAGAAGGAUGUUUGUUUUGAGUGUAGUUGGACAGAGCCUUUGGUUAUGAUUGAAUCCAUAAAGACAAAGGAAAACUUGCUGAACUUUUGCAUGAUGUAGGCCUUGGAGUUUUUAGCCACUUGUUUGAACAUGAGUUUCUUCCUAUGAUUCACAAGGGAUCAGAAUGGUCUCAUGAGCAAAUGCCCGUAGACGUGGUGGAUCAUAUUGUGGAUGUGCAUCAUAUUGAAAUAGAAUCUGAGGCUAUAAAAAGAGUAAAGGAAAUGAUACUUGCUAGUUCGAAAGGCAAUCGAGUUAUUGGUUGUAGAUGCCUUAUUGAAAGCAAAUAAUUAUCUAGAGAUAGCAUCUCAUAUACAUGAUCCUUCACAAUAUUGGAAGUUAGGUGACACAAUAAUCCAAACUAUUGAGACAGCUCCAAACCUAGAAUUAAAGGAAUCUGGGACUUGAUCCUUCUCAUUCGUCGGAGAGAUUUAUAUCAGUUUUGUAAUGAGUAUGCUAUUCUCGAGGAGCACCUUGACAAUUUUAAGGAUGUCACUUCACAAGAUAUUGUUUGUUCACAGAAAAGUGGUGGAGUGGCCCUUAAAGAAGAGGAUGUUGCAGUCACCAAGGUUUUUAUUUCUUACAUGGAAAUGAUUAAUAGUGAGGUUAUUCCAAAAAAGGGGGGUGGCAAGGUUUAGUCCCAAUCCCAAGUAAUAAAAAUAGAAAUUGAGAGUUAAGAAAAUAAAGAUUUUAUCAUUUUCAUUUUGCCUUUGUUCUAUGGCCUUUGCUGGGAUAUUAUUUAUGGACUGCUUUGGGAUCCCUACAACUUAUUUUUUGCCUUUGCUUUUUUCACUUUUCAGUAAUUGUUAGCUGACGAGUGACUUGAGUCAAAUACUAUGGCUCAUAAAUCUACAUCUGGAGCUCAAAAAAAAAAAUUUAGAGAGAGAGAGAGAGAGAAAGAGUAGAGACAUUAAUUCGAAGUCAGAUUGGAUAAACAAAUAAAUACUUUAAUAAGAAGAGAAGGAAGGAACACCGAAAAUUUUAUUUGUUGUUUUAUUGUCGAUUUAAGUUAACAAAUUUAAUUCCGUAAACUUCUAAUUUUUUAUUUUAUUUUUUUUUAAAAAGGGAUUGUUUGCUACGACUUAGGGCCUAGGGCCCAAAUUUUGAAAUUCGCCUCAAGCCCCGCGAAGCACAGGUAUGGCACUGGUCAAAACUUUCAGUUGUUUGAUAUAGCUGGUUGUAAAAUUCUAUAGAAUAGUACUCAUUAAGUAAUUUUUAAAAAAAAAAAUUUUGAUUGGUGGAUAUAUAACAUGUGCUUAUGAUAUAUAACAUGUGCUUAGGGGUGAGCGCUUCAGAACCGAACUGAACCAAAAUUUUCAGGUAUCUAGUAAAUGGAACCGUCGGGUCCAAAUAUAAUUAUGGAGCCGUUCGGGUUCUGUUCCGUUCGGGUCGGUUCCGUUCGGUUUUGUACUAUAAUUAAAUUUUUUAACAUUUAUAACAACAUUAUAUAAAUACAACUAAUGAUACAUUUAAUGGUUUUGGAAUGUCAAAGACUAGUAGACUACCUUAUUCAAAUGAUCGCUAUGGUCAAAGUUUCGGUCGGCGGAGAUCACAGCUUCAAUCAGAGGUCACAGUAUCGACCGAUGAUUGUAUAGGUUUUGGAAUGUUAGCGAGGCUGCGAGAGUGAGUGCGAGAGUCUAGACAACGGUAUAUGCUUUAGUGUAGGUGUUUAGGGUUAUUUAGUGGAUUGUAUUUUGUUGAGUUAAGAAAUGAAACAAUAAAAUGGGUAAUUGAGUCAAAAAUUAAAAAAUUAGAAAUAAAACAAAUUAUUAGGUCAAAAUUUGAAUUUAAAAAUGUUUAAUUUCUUUAAAAUAAAUUAAAAUUAAAAUAAUUUGAUUUACUCAAAAUAAAAAAAAAUUAGAAAGAUUCGGUUCUUAUUCGAUUUUUCGGUUCUUGGUCUAGAACCGAGAACCGAACCGUACCCGUCAGUUCUCAAUUCAGAUACCCGUUUGGGUAUUUAAUUUGACAAGAACCGUCGGGUUCGGUUCAGUUCGGUUCGGGUUCGGUUCGGGAGAUUUGCCCAGCCCUACAUGUGCUUAUGUUUAUCAUGCUUCUAUCGGUUUAUAUUUCUAAGGUGAGCAGUCUCCUAAAUUCGAUCUCUUGCAACAUAAGUUUAUUUAGAAGUUUGAAAUUUUAGCCCUCUUUAUAAUUAUUUUCUAGCUCCGUCCCUGACGGUCGAGGUGUAGGAUUACUAAUUGACGAUGGACCUUCAGGGCCACGAAUAAAAGAGGGUCGGGAAAUGGAAUAAGCCAUGUGGUAAGAUUCUGAGGAACGUGUCGAUGAUGUGAUGCGGGCUGAGAAAGGGAAAGAGAUAAGGAUGAAUGAAGGUAGAGAGUGAAGGAGAUGACUGGCUUUGCUGGACAAAUAAUGAUGCCAUAAUGUACCUAGAUGACUAGCUAGCGAGGGUAAUAGUUGUGACACAUGCAAAAGAUUAGAACCUCCGGUCACUCAUGCUUGUGUUCAUGCACGUGUGACUCAAAUUUUGUACAUUAGCAUGUGUGACUUGCAAAACUGUUGUGCAUCAAAGAUGUUGAUUUAUAGAACACAUCAAUGCAAAACUGUAUUCAUGAUUUAUCUAUUAGGCAGUGCAUUUUAUUUUGCCAGUUCUCGAAAAUACAAAAUCAGCAUGUUUAUUGAGUUUAAGUUACUUUAAUAAACAAUUUCUUUUAGAAACUUGACUGAAAGUUUAAGCAAAUUGCAUAUUGGGGUUUUAGGACAGAGUAUGAUUAUUUUUUUCUCAUAUGUUCUUGACUGGGGGUAUCGAAACAGAUGGAAAUAGUUUACAAAAAGAAUUUAUGUGACAUGAGAGUUUAAAGCAAUUGCACGGUUUGUAUUUGUCAUAGCUUUAGAUAUGGAUGACAGAAAGAGAAAUCCAUUUGGAUCUUUUGCUUGCUGAAUUUGUUAUUAUCAAAUAUUGUAAAUCGUCGAUUUUAAUGACAAAAUUUUCCAUUGACAGCUUUUGCUUGCUAAGUUAGAUAUUAACUGUGUGAAUGGCUUUCUGUUUUGUUUCAUUAGAGCCUGGUUCCUUUCCAGAGCCUUUGUUUGUAACUGUGGUUUUCCAAUUGUGUUUUACUGAGCUAUCCCUUACAGAGGAUUCCUUCUGCAGGUACCAUGUUGGUUAACAUAUGAUUAUCCACAAGACGCCAGGGAAAAACUUAGGCAUCGAUGGGGUUCAGACUGGAAAGGUCAAGCACAAAAAUGGUGAGUACAUAUGCUUCUUCUUUUCCUCAUAGACGUUUGAUAUAUUUUGAUUUUACAUCCUUGAUAGAAACUGCAGCUUUGUAGAUAGUUCAAGUGAGGUAGAUUUUGCCCUUUUGUGAAAAUAUUGUGCAGUAUGAGCCAUUGCCUUAACAGAUAAGUUUAUAAUUUGUAAAGCUAUCUAUAAAGCCCAAAAUUCUGAAAAUUGGCUUCUGGUGCUAGUGGCCCACUACCAUCAAUUAAGUUACAUACUGUUCUCGCAUUUGCUGUUACCAUACUAAACCAGAUAAACCUACUAAUUGAGAGACAGGGAUAAAACUCUAUUUAUACAGGGACAUCAAUAGAGAUUGGAAAGUGCUACAUGUACAUGAUUGUCUACAUAAUGGCGUUCAUAAUUACACGUGGCGCUGGAUUCAACCUUUAAUUCAAAUCUUAGAUGAUUGCCACAUCACAUUAUGGAUACCAUCAUGUGUAAUAAUUAUGUACAAGUAGAAUUUUCCAUAGAGAUUCCUGUUGAUUCUACAAUCUUUGUGAAUAUGGAUUGAUUGGCCCUACAUGGGUACAUGUUAGGUUAGUGUUCGAGGGAGAGCAAUUUGCUAAAGCAUGAGAGAAGGAACAUUAAUGAUACAAGAAAGAGCCCUCAUUCCUGGGCGUGAGAGAACAAAGGUUACUGUUAUCUGAAAGUGUAUCCAAACAAACUUGAAUAGUGAAUUCAGUAACUAAUGAUUAGAGUUAACAAUUUCGUACAAUGGGUAUGUAAAUGAAAUCCUAGGAGAGGGUCAGAAAUUUUUAAUCUCGUUACUGUUAUGUUUUCUAACUGCAACAUACUCGUAUAAGUAACAAUGGGACUGCAAUAUUCUCUUGUUUUAGAUAUUGAUUUUAAUUAAUUAUUACUAAUUACUUAAUAUCUGCUAUACAACCUCUUCACACAAAUACACAACUAAUAUACAUUCACGAAUGAGAAGAUGCUUUGUUUUCUGUUCUGACUGUAUCUCAGCUGAUAUAUCUGACUUUGAAAUGUGCAAAACUUCACGUUUCUUUUUAAAUUCACUGGAAAGGAUGAAGAAAUCAAUCUUUUGGGUGAUGGGUCUGAGAAGCCUGAAUUCGGAGAAUGAUCAUGGCUGUCACCAGAAGAAAUAAUCAACGUCGUCAGUCCUCUCAUCUAACCUUUAAAAAUGUUUUGAAAUAAAUUUUUUGGUCUUUUCCUGUAAUACUGAAAUUUAACCUUUUUCUAUUUCUUUGCAGGCAGUGGGUUUCAAGAAGCCUGUAUAUCAGGAAGUUUUGACAACUUUCUCUCCACAUCUUGAGUAGAACAUUAAAGGUCGAUUUUUGUUCAAGGAACUGUUUUUCUGCCGAUUUGGGGGAAAUAUGCAAGGCCAUCAACUCACCUAAGAUUCUUGUAUUACAUUAGAGUUUUACUACACGUACUUCGGGGUUGACACUCCGGUGUACACUCCCCUCACCUGGGAGAUUCCAAAAUUUUUUUUAUUGUCAUGGGGCCCAUCCCCUCAUGUGAGGGGAGUGUUAACCUCGAUGUACAAAUAGCAUUUUCCUUUUCUAUGUCACUGUGAGGUAGCAUGGAAAAAUUUGCACCGCUAAUACGGACGUCUUUGUUUGAAGUCACAUACUCACAAUUUCAUUUGUAAUUUUGAGACAGGUUAUGGAGAGUUGAGUAGGAUUGUCUGCUCUCAUUUUCUCCUAUGACAAAUUUGUCCGGGAUAUGGACUUAUGCUAUGAUUUAAAUCAUGCUCAUGUUUGUCAAAUUAAUUUGUAUUUGUGGUAAUAUAAGUGGAAAUAAAGGCUCUAUGUUAUCGAAGUCGUG